rnacentral:rRNA from 1 species
GACGAACGCUGGCGGCGUGCUUAACACAUGCAAGUCGAACGGAAAGGCCCUGCUUUUGUGGUGUGCUCGAGUGGCGAACGGGUGAGUAACACGUGAGUAACCUGCCCUUGACUUUGGGAUAACGUCAGGAAACUGGGGCUAAUAACGGAUAGGAGCUCCUGCUGCAUGGUGGGGGUGGGAAAGUUUCGGCGGUUGGGGAUGGACUCGCGGCUUAUCAGCUUGUUGGUGGGGUAGUGGCUUACCAAGGCUUUGACGGGUAGCCGGCCUGAGCGGGUGACCGGCCACAUUGGGACUGAGAUACGGCCCAGACUCCUACGGGAGGCAGCAGUGGGGAAUAUUGCACAAUGGGCGGAAGCCUGAUGCAGCAACGCCGCGUGCGGGAUGACGGCCUUCGGGUUGUAAACCGCUUUCGCCUGUGACGAAGCGUGAGUGACGGUAAUGGGUAAAGAAGCACCGGCUAACUACGUG